UCCGUUUUGUCAACGGCAGUCUCUCUAGAGUGCCCAACUUAAUGCUGGCAACUAAAGGCGAGGGUUGCGCUCGUUGCGGGACUUAACCCAACAUCUCGCGACACGAGCUGACGACAGCCAUGCAGCACCUGUGUGCUAGCCAGCCGAACUGAAGGAAUCCAUCUCUGGAAACCAUACUAGCCAUGUCAAACGCUGGUAAGGUUCUGCGCGUUGCUUCGAAUUAAACCACAUGCUCCACCGCUUGUGCAGGCCCCCGUCAAUUCCUUUGAGUUUUAGCCUUGCGGCCGUACUCCCCAGGCGGGGCGCUUAAUGCGUUAGCUUCGGCACGGACGGAGACGACACCGCCCACACCUAGCGCCCAUCGUUUACGGCGUGGACUAC
rnacentral:misc_RNA from 1 species